UUACCGGAGUUCGCUCCGGCAUAAUAAUAAAGAUGAAAUUCCUCUUUGACGGGCCAAUAGCAAUAUUGGCCACUUUUUU
rnacentral:sRNA from 1 species